rnacentral:piRNA from 1 species
UAUAUGUUGACACAUUGUCUAGU